GUGAGUAGUUCAGAGUUUGAUCCUGGCUCAGGACGAACGCUGGCGGCGUGCCUAACACAUGCAAGUCGAGCGGGGAUCUAACGAUGAAGUUUUCGGAUGGAUUUGUUAGAUUCUAGCGGCGGACGGGUGAGUAACGCGUGAGCAAUCUGCCUAUCACAGGGGAAUAACGCAUCGAAAGGUGUGCUAAUACCGCAUGAGACCACAAUGGGGCAUCCCGAAGGGGUCAAAGAAAUAUCGGUGAUAGAUGAGCUCGCGUCUGAUUAGCUAGUUGGUGAGGUAACGGCCCACCAAGGCGACGAUCAGUAGCCGACCUGAGAGGGUGAUCGGCCACAUUGGAACUGAGAAACGGUCCAA
rnacentral:rRNA from 1 species